GAUGAAGAACGCAGCGAAAUGCGAUACGUAGUGUGAAUUGCAGAAUUCAGUGAAUCAUCGAAUCUUUGAACGCACAUUGCGCCCGCCAGUAUUCUGGCGGGCAUGCCUGUUCGAGCGUCAUUUCAACCAUCAAGCCCCCGGCUUGUGUUGGGGACCUGCGGCUGCCGCAGGCCCUGAAAACCAGUGGCGGGCUCGCUAGUCACUCCGAGCGUAGUAAUACAUCUCGCUCAGGGCGUGCUGCGGGUUCCGGCCGUUAAAAAGCCUUAUUUACCCAAGGUUGACCUCGGAUCAGGUAGGAAGACCCGCUGAACUUAAGCAUAUCAAUAAGCGGAGGA
rnacentral:misc_RNA from 1 species